rnacentral:rRNA from 1 species
GAUGAACGCUGGCGGCGUGCCUAAUACAUGCCAGUCGAGCGAACAGACGAGGAGCUUGCUCCUCUGACGUUAGCGGCGGACGGGUGAGUAACACGUGGAUAACCUACCUAUAAGACUGGGAUAACUUCGGGAAACCGGAGCUAAUACCGGAUAAUAUAUUGAACCGCAUGGUUCAAUAGUGAAAGACGGUUUUGCUGUCACUUAUAGAUGGAUCCGCGCCGCAUUAGCUAGUUGGUAAGGUAACGGCUUACCAAGGCGACGAUGCGUAGCCGACCUGAGAGGGUGAUCGGCCACACUGGAACUGAGACACGGUCCAGACCCCUACGGGAGGCAGCAGUAGGGAAUCUUCCGCAAUGGGCGAAAGCCUGACGGAGCAACGCCGCGUGAGUGAUGAAGGUCUUCGGAUCGUAAAACUCUGUUAUUAGGGAAGAACAAAUGUGUAAGUAACUAUGCACGUCUUGACGGUACCUAAUCAGAAAGCCACGGCUAACUACGUG